rnacentral:rRNA from 1 species
AAUUUUGGACAAUGGGCGAAAGCCUGAUCCAGCAAUGCCGCGUGCAGGAUGAAGACCUUCGGUUUGUAAACUGCUUUUGUACGGAACGAAAAGCUUUGGGUUAAUACCCUGGAGUUAUGCUGGUACCGUAAGAAUAAGCACCGGCUACCUACGGCCCAGCAGCCGCGGUGAUACUUAGGGUGCAAGCGUUAAUCGGAAUUACUGGGCGUAAAGCGGGCGCAGGCGGUUUUGUAAGACAGAGGUGAAAUCCCCGGGCUCAACCUGGGAACUGCCUUUGUGACUGCAAGGCUAGAGUACGGCAGAGGGGGGUGGAAUUCCGCGUGUAGCAGUGAAAUGCGUAGAUAUGCGGAGGAACACCGAUGGCGAAGGCAACCCCCUGGGCCUGUACUGACGCUCAUGCACGAAAGCGUGGGGAGCAAACAG